rnacentral:rRNA from 1 species
UGAGUACGAGCGGCUACGGCCGCGAAGUGGAUGAUGUCAAGCUUCCAAGAAAAGCCCUAUACCCGUUAAGGCAUGAUGGCCUGUACCCGAAACCGACACAGGUGGGGUGGUAGAGAAUACCGAGGGGCGCGAGGUAACUCUCUCUAAGGAACUCGGCAAAAUGGCCCCGUAACUUCGGGAGAAGGGGUGCCACCGCGAGGUGGUCGCAGUGAAGAGGCCCAGGCGACUGUUUACCAAAAACACAGGUCUCCGCUAAGUCGCAAGACGAUGUAUGGGGGCUGACGCCUGCCCAGUGCCGGAAGGUUAAGGAAGCUGGUCAGCGCAAGCGAAGCUGGCGACUGAAGCCCCGGUGAACGGCGGCCGUAACGAUAACGGUCCUAAGGUAGCGAAAUUCCUUGUCGGGUAAGUUCCGACCCGCACGAAAGGCGUAACGAUCUGGGCGCUGUCUCGGAGAGAGGCUCGGCGAAAUAGAAUUGUCUGUGAAGAUGCGGACUACGUGCACCCGGACAGAAAGACCCUAUGAAGCUUUACUGUAGCUUGGUAUUGUGCUCGGGCUCGGAAUGCGCAGGAUAGGUGGGAGGCUUUGAUCCAUUGCUUGCGGGUGAUGGUGAGCCACUGGUGAGAUACCACUCUUUCCGAGCUAGAGUUCUAACAGCAACCCGUUAUCCGGGUGCUGGACAGUAUCAGGUGGGCAGUUUGACUGGGGCGGUCGCCUCCUAAAAGGUAACGGAGGCGCGCAAAGGUCUGCUCAGGCUGGUUGGAAAUCAGCCGACGAGUGUAAAAGCAGAAGCAGGCUUGACUGUGAGACCUACAAGUCGAACAGGGAGGAAACUCGGCUUUAGUGAUCCGACGGUUCUGCGUGGAAGGGCCGUCGCUCAACGGAUAAAAGUUACUCUAAGGAUAACAGGCUGAUCUCCCCCAAGAGUUCACAUCGACGGGGAGGUUUGGCACCUCGAUGUCGGCUCAUCGCAACCUGGGGCUGAAGUCGGUCCCAAGGGUUGGGCUGUUCGCCCAUUAAAGCGGUACGCGAGCUGGGUUCAGAACGUCGUGAGACAGUUCGGUCCAUAUCCGGUGCACGCGCAGGAAUAUUGAGAGGAUUUCUCCCUAGUACGAGAGGACCGGGAGGAACGCACCUCUGGUGUGCCAGUUAUCGUGCCAACGGUAAACGCUGGGUAGCCAUGUGCGGAGUGGAUAACCGCUGAAAGCAUCUAAGUGGGAAGCCCACCUCAAGAUGAGUAUUCCCAUGGCAUAAGCCAGUAAGGUCACGGGAAGAACACCCGUUGAUAGGCUCUACGUGGAAGCGCAGUAAUGUGUGAAGCGGAGGAGUACUAAUAGACCGAGGGCUUGACC